ACACUAGAGAUUUUUACCCUCUUAUGGUAAAUCACUAAAAAUUACUACUCCCAAUCUCAAAUGGUUUACAUGGGAUGGAUUUGCUCCAGAUAACUGUUUUUUGGGUAACUUAAAGUGUUUACGUUCUUGUACAUUAAAUCUUGAACAGCUUUCUAGCUCAUGGAGGCCGCCAAGCUUGGAGUAUUUCCAAUUUCUAGAAGGGAUCAAUGAUCUAGAGAUACAGUUUCGGUGUCUUAAGGAAUUAUAUAAGGCCGGCAUGCUGCCGAUUCCUUUGAUGCAUGUACGUACUUUGCGUAUAAACUUUAUCCAAUCAGAUACUAACGAUGACAAUGUAGUUCCAGCAAUUUCCUUACUUCUCAAGGGAGCUGUUAACGUAGAAGCUUGGUCCACGACAAAUGGGAAGUUUUGGCUAAUGUACAAGCCUUGUUCCAUAGAAAUAAAGUUGCGGCAAGUACGGGAAUUUAUGAAAGCAAUUGUGAAGGUUGUUCCCGAGAAAAGGUAGGAACAUCAUUGUCUAUCAAGUGGUUCAGAUUUAAAGCUGAAUAUUGAAGAUUUCAAGAAUUGAUAUGUAUUCGUCAUUGGAAGAGUAUAUUGAGUGGUUUUUUUAAAGGAAAUAAUUCAUUGUAGCGGCUAGAGUAUAUUCUCAAGCAUACCACAGAAAUGUGAGGAGAUAGACACCAUUUGUACACCUUCCCGGCAAUCAUAUAUCACAAAGACAAUUGAACGUAGGGCAGCAUCAAUUGUUAGAAUUUUUUUUCCUUAAGUAACAAUUCUAUAUUUAUAAUGGUUUUUUAGUAUUAUAUGUGAAAAUUUCAACUAUGGGAGCCUUAGAAAAGUAUUUUCUAAUGUGUUUUGGGAUAUUUUUGUUUUUGGUUUUGACAA